GCAACUCGCCUGCAUGAAGUCGGAAUUGCUAGUAAUCGUAGGUCAGCAUACUACGGUGAAUACGUUCCCGGGCCUUGUACACACCGCCCGUCAAACCAUGAGAGUUGGCAACACCCGAAGUCGGUAGUCUAACCGCAAGGAGGACGCCGCCGAAGGUGGGGUUGAUGAUUAGGGUUAAGUCGUAACAAGGUACC
rnacentral:rRNA from 1 species